rnacentral:rRNA from 1 species
GAUGAACGCUGGCGGCGUGCCUAAUACAUGCAAGUCGAACGCUGAAGGAGGAGCUUGCUCUUCUGGAUGAGUUGCGAACGGGUGAGUAACGCGUAGGUAACCUGCCUGGUAGCGGGGGAUAACUAUUGGAAACGAUAGCUAAUACCGCAUGACAACAGUUAUUGCAUGAUAACUGUUUAAAAGGGGCAACUGCUCCACUACCAGAUGGACCUGCGUUGUAUUAGCUAGUUGGUGAGGUAACGGCUCACCAAGGCGACGAUACAUAGCCGACCUGAGAGGGUGAUCGGCCACACUGGGACUGAGACACGGCCCAGACUCCUACGGGAGGCAGCAGUAGGGAAUCUUCGGCAAUGGACGGAAGUCUGACCGAGCAACGCCGCGUGAGUGAAGAAGGUUUUCGGAUCGUAAAGCUCUGUUGUAAGAGAAGAACGAGUGUGAGAGUGGAAAGUUCACACUGUGACGGUAUCUUACCAGAAAGGGACGGCUAACUACGU